AUUCUUUUAGUACAUUCAAUACAACUGACCUCCAAUCAGCCAAACUUGGUAAACCCCAAGAAAGAAUA
rnacentral:tRNA from 1 species